rnacentral:rRNA from 1 species
GAUGAACGCUAGCGGCGUGCCUAAUACAUGCAAGUCGAGCGAGCGGACGAGAAGCUUGCUUCUCUGAUGUUAGCGGCGGACGGGUGAGUAACACGUGGAUAACCUACCUAUAAGACUGGGAUAACUUCGGGAAACCGUAGCUAAUACCGGAUAAUAUUUUGAACCGCAUGGUUCAAAAGUGAAAGACGGUCUUGCUGUCACUUAUAGAUGGAUCCGCGCUGCAUUAGCUAGUUGGUAAGGUAACGGCUUACCAAGGCAACGAUGCAUAGCCGACCUGAGAGGGUGAUCGGCCACACUGGAACUGAGACACGGUCCAGACUCCUACGGGAGGCAGCAGUAGGGAAUCUUCCGCAAUGGGCGAAAGCCUGACGGAGCAACGCCGCGUGAGUGAUGAAGGUCUUCGGAUCGUAAAACUCUGUUAUUAGGGAAGAACAUAUGUGUAAGUAACUGUGCACAUCUUGACGGUACCUAAUCAGAAAGCCACGGCUAACUACGUG